GGGGGGGAGAAAAUUAAAUAAAUAUAGUAAAAGAGCGAGGAGGGGCCAACCUGCUUUGGGCCAAGAAGGGCAAUAAAGGAGUCUUUAUAACCGCCGGGUGGUGGAAUACUCUCUUCUCCCCCACCCCGCCAAGCAGAAUGUCAAAUUCUGUCCCCCCCUUUUUUCCCCCCUCUUAAAGCAUGCUAAAAGGAAAAUUCUUCACAGAAUCUUAAAGAACUUUUUUGACACAACAGCUGCAAAAUCUAUUUUCUAAACAAAGAUUUAUACAUAUUUAUAUGAGCUUAAUCCAGAUUUUUUUUAAUAAAUCAUCCUCAGAACUGCAGAGGUAAACUAUAUGUAAAUACCUCAAGUAAUAGGCUUGUAGUGCAAAUCACAUCAUUUUAUCUUCAAUUUUGCAUUCGUUUUUCUGGCUUAAAGGUGCAUCAGAGAUAUGCAUUUUAGCAUAUUCAGAACACGGGGCGUGAAAUUAAAUGUUUGACAGAGUGAGAAAAAUAUACAGACUUUGGAGAUGCCUUAAAAAUAGUAAUUUAUGCAGAUCUAGAGGAGUGAAAUCAUUUGCAAUGGAGUGACCCUCUCUCCAGGAAUUUUGUGCUCAGUGUUCUUCCCUAAUCUCCCGCUGUAUCUUCAUUUUUCAUUGAACUAGCCAGUUUUCUGCGAAGCCGUCUUGUAGAUAAGGGCAGUGCUAAAGAAGAAGAAAGAGGACGCUCGGUGGGUCCGUUUCCAUUGCACUUUUACCCAAGGCAAUGGGCAGAAUUUAACGGAUUCCUUCCAACAUAUGUUUUUGCCAGAUAAGUAAACAGUGUGUGUCGGAAAUGAAAAAGCAUUUGCAAUUUAAUGACAUUACAGCUCUCAGCUUAGGCUGGCGUGCUGCGAGGCGAAAAGCAGAAAAAGAGAGGAGAGUAGAAAGAGAAAAAGAACAAAGUUCAUCUUCCCUUUUGUGCAUUUUUAUCAAGGAAAAUAUUACUUCUUUCCCCCUUUUGUUCUCUUUUUUCUUUUUCGUCUUUUGGCUUUUUUGUCUCACUCAUUUACAUUUUUUUUCUUUUCUGCCUUUCUGUCCUCUGUUCACUUUUGCCUUUUUCUCAUAUUGCCACUGACUCAUUUCUUCUUUCCUCUCCAUUGUGCGUCCUUAUUCAUCUAUUGGGGCCAUUCAGUUUUACCUUAGAAGAAGCUGUUUAUCCCACAAUGUAUCUUUUCUCCUGUGUUGUACUCCUAGUGCUAUAGCUCACAGUCAACAGGAUCGUCAGGGAUUAUAACGUUUCAUUUCAAAGCGCUACAAAUCUGCUCUCUUGCCUUCCGUCCCUGCCCCGGUUUCCUCUGAUACUUGUCCUUUUAUUUUGCAUUCAUUUUGGUCUUUCAUUUCACCCCCAGACAUCACAGCACCCCAAGGUCUAACCACUGAUACUCACUGUCUUUGCACUGUGUGGCAAUACUUCCAGGUUCUAGAAACGUCCCCCUGGGGAUAGCAGAAUUGUUCUCUCAUGCCCUUGGUCAGGUUCUGAGGGGGUGUGACCAGUGACCGUGUGGUCAGAAUUGGUCCUUCCAGGGCCUGGUGACCAGGACAGGGUGUCCUCCAGUGGAUGCUUAUAAUGAGCCAUCUUCCAAUGGAAAAGGAGCCCCACACCUUGCAGCUGCAUCUGCUGCUCCUUUUCCUUUGUGUGAGGGCAGUUCCUGAAAUACGUGUAUAUUUGAGUUCUGUGAUUGUGUAAUUGAGUGUGUACGUGUGUCUGCAUUGGAGUAUGUGAUGAGUGUGUACAGAUUGUGUGUUGAAGGCAGUGUACUCUCUUUGAAUACAGGCAUAUAGAAAGAUAUGACAUAUCUUCCAGAUGUGAAUCUACCUUAAAUUCCAGCAGUAAAAGUUGAGUGGACCAAUAUUUUCUCCUUACUUAGGUCCGUAGCAUUUUUAGGUCUAGGGUUAUUUCGAUUGUCCCUUUUGCAAGGAAAAAUAAGAUUUUGCACCCAGUCCCAUUUUUGUGACAGACCACGUAGACACCCAAGACACCCUGUUUAGGAGAAAGGCAUGUCUCUUGAGUCAUUUUUGCUGCCUUGCGUUGUCGGUCUGUCAAUCUAAGCAGUUCCUGAAGGAACAACUUUUAAUAUGAAGAUUAGUACUCAUGGUUGCCUUAUAUUUUUGCAAAACAAGUUCACAUUAUUUUAGAUAUUGCCGUCAUGAACAUUUGAAUAUUAUUAGCAUUCCAGAUGUUUAACAUAAAUUCCAUUCCGAGAAUACACGUGAAAGUUCCUGGUUAACCUGCAGGUUGAGCAUAAUUGAAAGGACCUGUAAUCAAAUUGCAGGCCCUAUCGCAGAAAUACUCUACAGACUUUAAAAAGAUGCUUAAAUAAAAUGCUCUUGUCUAAAGCCAUGUGCAUGUUUUUACCAUAAAAUUACAUCUUCCACAUCUUCCAGAUCCAGCACUUGGUAAGUAAAAAGAAAAUCUAUUUGGACAUAAGGAUGGAAAGUAGCUGGAGGUGGUAAUUUAAUCAACCAAGGAUAUAUUUCAAUGUUUUUUCUGGUCUUCUAGGCAUUAGCACUUUAAAUUCAUUAUGUCGGUUUGACAGAUAUAUGCAGCCUUAAGGAUCUAAAAAUGAAAUCCUAGAAGUAUAGCCUGCUAGAGGAUAUAUAUUGAACUUAAGAGAUUAAAAUGGUAUAACCAUUGCAACAGAAUGGAACAUAUCGCGUUUCUCAUUUUUUCCUCGCUAAGCACGAGUAUUUUGCAGAUGUAAAAUACAGUCUUGUCUAAUUAGAAAACCUGGCUCAGGCGCUGUCGCUUUCUAACUUUUACACUGAUGAAGUGGAUAUUAGAAAGAAAAUGUGGGCUUCACGGACAGUCUGAAGAUGAAGAAGUCUUCCAUUUGGGAUUUUCUAUAUCAAUAAUUUAUUAAGGAAAAUGACACAAGUCGUUACAUGCAGCCUGCUAUGAAGAGGCUUGCUUGCAUGCUUUUCCUGUUUAAGGCACAUCACAAAAGAGCCAAAUUAUAAAGCAGGUCUUAACGUCACUGAGACGUUACAUCUACUCUAUCAUUAUGCCAAUUUAGUAACAUUAAUGAUCUGUAAUAUUAAUUCAUCAUCCUGGAAAAUGGGGAAGGGUUGCCGUCAUUAACUGAAUUAAGCCCCAAUUAAAAAGUCAUCCAAGCAGUUGUGAAGAUUCGAACGCUGAUACUGGUGUUCGUUAUACUGCAGACCUUUCUGACCACGGAAAUCUUGUACAUGAGACUGUUACAAACAGCCCCUCACUUUGAAUUCAGAUAUGUCAAAAGAGCAGCCACCCACGGAGGCGGUGGCACCGACUAGACGCCUUAUCAGCCUUUUCCAUCACCGACUGUGGUUUAACACUUUCUUACAGGGAGAAUCAGCCUUGAAAGAGGUACAACCUUUUAGCAUAUCUACUUUAAUUCUUCGCAGGGAAGCCAAAGUGGGCUGUCUGGCGCAACUCACAUCUGUCCUACAGACUCUCUCUUCCCCCGAGAUUAGGGUCGUCUUUGAAAAUCACAUUCCAAACCGCACAAAAUGAACAUUUUGAGGUGUUAAAAUGGAGAUCCUGUAACGUCUUAGCCUAAAUCCCAGUCGCCUCCCAUCGGGUGCCCACAAGCCCCUAGUUCUCCUCCCCACCUAUUCAAAGUCUCUGUUGCGGGUGGGAGUCUUUGAGUCACAGACAAUAUCAAGUGAAAGAUAAAUGGGACCGAGAAAGGGGUGAGCUGCAGCCGAAAUGACAGCCGAUCUGAACCAUCCAGUCCAAGGACCCCCUUUACCUCUGAUGGGGAAGAUCAGCUGGUGAUAAAGGACUGUUUCCUCCCGCAUCCCAACUUUUCUUUACACCCACUGUUGUUGGUCUUGCCAUUAGUGAUUGCGAGUCUCUCCGCCUAAAGCAGCGCUUCCUAUGCUGCCGUGUCUCUGUACGAAACACCCGCUGAGAUGCCCUCAUAACCAGGGACCGUCACCGUUGUGGGAAGCUGGGUGAGUGAGGAAGCACUGGUGGCAACUUGCACACACAUGUAACUGAAAGUAAUUAUGACAUCGAAGAGAGCACGUCACUGCCUUGGUCUGGAUAAAGGACGAGGGAUUUGUAUUUGCAGAGAUUCAUCAAGGAUUCCUGUGUGGCUGCUUUUUUUGUUUGUUUAUUUUUUGUGUUUUUCCUUACCAAGCAUAAAGCCCCAUGCAAAUUCAAAAGCACACCUGACACCGCACACCUGAGCAUCUGCACCUGAGGAUGACUCGCAUCUGAUCAAGUCUCUCCAUGAGAAGAAGCUGCACUGAGUCCCUCAGCAGAUUUCUUUUCUCAUACCGUGUGCCUUCGAUCAACACCAUAGUAUGUGCCUUUGUAAAAAACACACAUAUGCUCCCCACUCUGACGUCUGCAAUGUGCCAUAUGCCAGAAAAGUCUUGACAGCGGCAUCCGCGUGCCAUCUUAGUGGCAGCGGACAAAUCACUUGACAAUCUUAGUCUUACUGAUUUGAGUAGUGACACGCCAUUCCAGUUUUCCCACUCCAGGGGAACCAACAACUUGCUCUCCGACAAAAAUCACUGCUCCAUCCUCAUAAGCAAGUAGCCAGUCUAAACAUCCAGCCAAAGAAGAAUCGUUUCCCUCCAUGGAAUGCUGGAAGCUUUAUGACUGUUGGCUGAAAAGGAGUCCCGUCAGGAGUUCCUGCUGUGGUGUCACGGGAUCCGUGGCAUCUCUGGAGCCCUGGGACACAGGUUCGGACCCGGGUUUGAUCUCUGGCCUGGCACAGUGGGUCAAGGAUC
rnacentral:lncRNA from 1 species